AUUGAACGCUGGCGGCAGGCCUAACACAUGCAAGUCGAACGGAGCGGCGGACGCGGGAGUAAUACCUAUGAAUGGGCAUGUGAGUGGGGGAUAGCGUUCGGAAACGGACGCUAAUACUGCAUACUAUCACAUGAGCCUAGGUCGGAUUAGCUAGUUGGUGAGGUAAUGGCUCACCAAGGCCACGAGCCGUAACUGGUCUGAGAGGAUGAUCAGCCACACUGGAACUGAGACACGGUCCAGACUCCUACGGGAGGCAGCAGUGGGGAAUAUUGGACAAUGGGCGAAAGCCUGAUCCAGCCAUGCCGCGUGUGUGAAGAAGGUCUUCGGAUUGUAAAGUACUUUAAGUUGGGAGGCGUUACCGACAGAAUAAGCACCGGCUAACUCCGUGCCAGCAGCCGCGGUAAUAC
rnacentral:rRNA from 1 species